UACGAAGGGAGCUAGCGUUGUUCGGAAUCACUGGGCGUAAAGCGCACGUAGGCGGAUUUGUCAGUCAGGGGUGAAAUCCCGGGGCUCAACCUCGGAACUGCCUUUGAUACAGCAAGUCUUGAGUUCGAGAGAGGUGGGUGGAAUUCCUAGUGUAGAGGUGAAAUUCGUAGAUAUUAGGAAGAACACCGGUGGCGAAGGCGGCCCACUGGCUCGAUACUGACGCUGAGGCGCGAAAGCCAGGGGAGCAAACGGG
rnacentral:rRNA from 1 species